GACAGAGGUGCCGAGCGUUAGGCGGAAUCACUGGGCUUAAAGCGUGUGUAGGCGGGCGGGCAAGUACCUUGUGAAAUCCCACGGCUCAACCGUGGAACUGCUGGGUAUACUGCCUGUCUUGAGCCAGCCAGGGGCAGUCGGAACAGACGGUGGAGCGGUGAAAUGCGUAGAUAUCAGGAGGAACACCGGUGGUGUAGACGGCUCUCUGGACCAUAACUGACGCUGAGACACGAAAGCGUGGGUAGCAAACAGG
rnacentral:rRNA from 1 species